rnacentral:rRNA from 1 species
AUUGAACGCUGGCGGCAGGCCUAACACAUGCAAGUCGAGCGGAUGAAGGGAGCUUGCUCCUGGAUUCAGCGGCGGACGUGUGAGUAAUGCCUAGGAAUCUGCCUGGUAGUGGGGGAUAACGUCCGGAAACGGGCGCUAAUACCGCAUACGUCCUGAGGGAGAAAGUGGGGGAUCUUCGGACCUCACGCUAUCAGAUGAGCCUAGGUCGGAUUAGCUAGUUGGUGGGGUAAAGGCCUACCAAGGCGACGAUCCGUAACUGGUCUGAGAGGAUGAUCAGUCACACUGGAACUGAGACACGGUCCAGACUCCUACGGGAGGCAGCAGUGGGGAAUAUUGGACAAUGGGCGAAAGCCUGAUCCAGCCAUGCCGCGUGUGUGAAGAAGGUCUUCGGAUUGUAAAGCACUUUAAGUUGGGAGGAAGGGCAGUAAGUUAAUACCCUGCUGUUUUGACGUUACCAACAGAAUAAGCACCGGCUAACUUCGUG